rnacentral:rRNA from 1 species
CCUACGGGUGGCUGCAGUGGGGAAUAUUGGACAAUGGGGGGAACCCUGAUCCAGCCAUGCCGCGUGUGUGAAGAAGGCCCUCGGGUUGUAAAGCACUUUCAGUGAGGAAGAACGCCUGGUGGUUAAUACCCAUCAGGAAAGACAUCACUCACAGAAGAAGCACCGGCUAACUCCGUGCCAGCAGCCGCGGUAAUACGGAGGGUGCGAGCGUUAAUCGGAAUUACUGGGCGUAAAGCGCGCGUAGGUGGCUUGAUAAGCCGGUUGUGAAAGCCCCGGGCUCAACCUGGGAACGGCAUCCGGAACUGUCAAGCUAGAGUGCAGGAGAGGAAGGUAGAAUUCCCGGUGUAGCGGUGAAAUGCGUAUAGAUCGGGAGGAAUACCAGUGGCGAAGGCGGCCUUCUGGACUGACACUGACACUGAGGUGCGAAAGCGUGGGUAGCAAACAGGAUUAGAUACCCGAGUAGUC